rnacentral:lncRNA from 1 species
GCAGGCUUGAGUUUGGACCUAUCAGAGGCCUGCUGCUGCUAUAUAAGCAGCACUCCCCAUGCAGUGGCAGCUGGUCCAGGAGGCCCCAUCCUGCUCACCGUCCCAGGCUGCAGCACAGGCCCUGUUCAGACGGGGCCCCCUCCAGGUCCUGUAAAUCUGGUUGUGAUCUAUUUCUCUGUAUCGUGGACUCAGAAAUCCUGUAAAUCUAUUCAGGGAAACCCUGAGUGAUGUGGCAGAGCGGUAGCUUUAGAAGAGCUGUGAACACCAGGGGCUGUCAGCCCUGAGGAGCCUGGAGAGCAGCAGCCCAUGCAGAUCAGCUGUGGAGCAGCAGACAGGAGAGCUGACCACGGCAGCGAGUGUCGACCGGAAGCGGCCAGCAGCCCACAGGACCGGUGCCCAGCAUCCACAGCAGAGUCGAGUGGGGAACCCAGGCCCAGAGCCCUGGUGCUCAGUGCUCAGGGCUGAGGGACAUCGGUGCUCAGAGCGCAGAGCCCAGAGAGCAUGCACAGCUGGGGACAGAGGCGGGGCCUCGCUCUCUGGCACUGCUGGUCUUUUUAGACUUUAUUCUCUGUGGCUGGUUCCUCCUCCUCUUGGGGUCGCCUUGUCACCUCCAAGCCUUCCAGCCUGGUUUACUUCCUGCUGCGCCCAGCUCACCAUCUCCUCCUCCAUGCUCCGGGAGUCUCAGUUCUCCCAGUCACCGUCUGGGCUGGUCCAGCAGCCUGCGUCUCUCAGCUCCGGGGGUCUGAGCCGCGGAUGGGCAGGAGGAGGCCCGGGCACACUGCUGCUGCCAGCCACUGCCAGGCUGAGAGGGCUGGUGGCCCCCACUGCCCCGGGGCCCGGGCCCAGCACUGCCCCGCCGUCAGGUUCUCUGCCGUUCCCUCUCCCACUUCUCCCGGCAAACCCAGCCAGCUUCUCAGCUCCGGGCUCCAGGCGGGGACAGAAGCUGGAAAGUGGUCGUCGCAGGCCUGCGGCAGUGGUCGCCCUGAGCACCCGCAUCUGGCGCCGGUUCGAUUUUCUCUCCACUCUGGACAGAGCUUCUUGGGGAGCCUUGGGGUCCCACCUCGCUCCUCCCUGGGCUCUUAAAGCCAGAGGCGGAAUAACAAACCCUGACACAAAACGCCAGUGCGAGACUCCGGUCGGCCGGCGGCGAGGACCUGUGUGGACGCUGAGGACCUGGGCCAGGGACGGGCAGCCAACACCACACCUCCCAAGUCACACCCCAGCUGCCAGACGUCUUCAUCAGGACUCAGGCGAAUCUGGGGCCUCUCUGCCGUCUCCCCAGCAGCUCUGCGGAGGAGGGAGGGACCGCGUACCCGCUCUGUGACUCUUCCUCCGGAACACAACUCUUCUUGGGGCAGAAUGGACGCUAGGCCAGGUCAGCCUGUGGCCUUUCAGCCCAAAAGCUGUUUCCUCCCUUGCACCCAAGCACCCACCUCGGCUGUGACCCCGGCCAGCAGGGGUCCUGGGAGCCGCCACUGCCUUACUUGAAAGCCGGGGGUGGGGGGGAGGCAGCAGCUGGCGCGCUGGAGGAAGGACAUGGCAAGUGGAAGAUGAGCACUGUCACCGCCCUUAGGGGCUCAACCGCCGAGGUCACCUCAGGGACACCCAGUGGUACAAGUGUGUGACCAACCCCUUCACAGCCAACACUGGGGCUCCAGAGCUGAAACAUCCAAUGUGCAGCAAGAUUUCCCUUCAACUUCCUGAAGACAAGGAGCUGGGAUUUCUUCUCCAAUCACCGUGCCUCUGGGUAGAACAGUCUGCUGGCUGAGAGGCAGGGCAGGACAGCGCUUAGGAGCUGACUCGAGUCAGACGGGACUCCAGGCCUAUUUCAUCGCUCACCGCAGGCAGACUUGGGUUUAAAGUGGUGUCCACACCCUGAAGCCGGCGGCUGGUGUGUCUACAGCGCCGCCCACAGGCCACUGCCCAGCAUCUCUCCUGCUGGCGCCCGCCGCCCAGCUCAAGGCUCGGUCUUCCUGCCCACAGAGCCCUCCCUUCCUUCUCCUCGUCCCUGUGCCGCCCUGUGCGGGGCACCUCUCUAUCUGCCUGGCCCUGCGCCCUCUGCCUGCUGCGGCUGAUGCUCUGUAAACUGCUGAGCUGUGUGCAGCCCUGCACAGAGGCGGAGCAGCUUGGCCGCAGGCAGCAGGGACUUUGAGGCAUUGCUCUGGCGUCACCCGCGGACGCUGCUGACCAGCGAGCCCCGUGUCCCUCUCCGCAGGGCGUCCGUGCAGGGCUGCAGCCCCGUCUCCACAGCGCUGCGGGAGACAGUCCUGGCUCACUAAAUUAGGACAGGGAAGGACAUAAUCUCCCACUUCUGUUUCAUUUCAUCCCGGGAUAAGGCCGAAAGAGGCCGUGCAUUUCCCGGCCGGCCUGGUUUUCUUCUCAGUUGGUCUGCGUGUGUUUACCAAAUAGACGCCCCGGGCUCCCUAGCAACUCGCAGCAGGGCGAGCCCCUCCUGAUAGCCCGGAGACGGAUGAAUUGCUGAUGAGAAGGAUCCAUGAAGUUUUUAAUUGGUUUAGUUAGAUUAUUUCCAGUCAACAAUUCCUGAGUUUAGUGGUAGAAGAUAGAUCUGUUUUCCAUAAACGUUAAAUGCCAAACUUUUGAAUCACUCUGAGUAAAAACCUUUCCCUUACAGAGCUACUUGCUAUCAUUUGAUUUACAGCAAAAAAUAAAGGCUUGGUUAGAGAGUCUGGCCGCAGCAUGGCACGCAGCAGGGGCGGGAGAUACGAGCAACACCGGCUCGCGCUGGCACCGAGGACGAGCGCGGAGCCAGCUACCGCUCCGGGAAACAAAGAAAGGCGGCCUAACCGCCCUGGCUCCCUGGCUCUCUCCCCUCGCAGCGCUUUCUAGUUUGGAAAGGCUUCUCCGCCCAGUUGCGCGUGGGCCGGGAGACGGUCAGGUAAGACAAGUCACAGCCCAACAAUCCGAGUGUCGUCAGCUGGUGCCCGGCGCCCAUAGCACAGAGGGAGGAGUUAGACCCUGGAAGCGGGCACCGGCCCCAAGCAGCCUCAACACCGGCCAGCACCACCCUGUGCCCCUGCGGCCCACCAUCCCCAGGGCCUGGGGGAGGCAGGAAUCGAAAGCGGCCAGGCACCACCAGGGGGCAGCAGCCUGGUGGGCGCAUUGAAGACACCAGGCCUGCUGUCUCUUCCCUCAGGGAGUGCGCUGCCCUGGGGAGCUGUUGGGGUGGGGCUGCUCCGGUGACUCCUGGGGUUGCUCACUUCUCCUUCAAGCCAAGUAAAGAGGGGGAGCAGAGAUGACGCUCGCUGUGUGCUGUGGGGCCUGACUUUGCCAUCGCUGCAAGUUCCCAGCCAUCUCUGCACCCCGUUACCCUCUGCUCCAGUGGAGGACUCCAACCCUCCAAGCCCCAGCCACACCUCUGGGCAGCGGGUCACCCUGACACCACGUCGCCCACAGCUGGUGCCUGCGCCAGGCCCCUGAGCCCUUGGGACACGCCCCGCGCAGGGAGCCGACGGAGGCAAAGGGCCUCUGGGAGGUGCCCACCGCUGCUCUAUUCCCAUCUGAGGCAGAGCAGCAAAGGCAGAACGUCAGGGUCGGGCACAACAGUGUCUCCUCUUCCGACAGGUCGCUGGGGCCCUGGGGCAGCCAGCCUGGUGCUCCAGGAGGGCGCGCCAUGUGUGCAGCUGUGGUCCUGGGUCACAGUCCCCGCCGAGCACAGAGCGGGCCAGGAGGCCAGGCGGGAACCACCAAGGCCCGCGCCAACCCCGGGUGAGAGACUGGCCUUCCCUGAUGCGACAACAGCAGGCGAAGGCUGAGGGUGGGAGUCCUCGGCUGCUCGUCAUCAGCUGGGUCUAGGAAGCAGCGCGUUGUCAAA